UACGUAGGGUGCGAGCGUUAAUCGGAAUUACUGGGCGUAAAGUGUGCGCAGGCGGCCGCGCAAGUCGAGUGUGAAAGCCCCGGGCUUAACUUGGGAAUUGCGCUCGAAACUACGUGGCUAGAGUGUGGCAGAGGGAGGUGGAAUUCCACGUGUAGCGGUGAAAUGCGUAGAGAUGUGGAGGAACACCGAUGGCGAAGGCAGCCUCCUGGGCCAACACUGACGCUCAUGCACGAAAGCGUGGGGAGCAAGCAGG
rnacentral:rRNA from 1 species